rnacentral:rRNA from 1 species
GACGAACGCUGGCGGCGUGCUUAACACAUGCAAGUCGAACGGAAAGGCCCUGCUUUUGUGGGGUGCUCGAGUGGCGAACGGGUGAGUAACACGUGAGUAACCUGCACUUGACUUUGGGAUAACUUCAGGAAACUGGGGCUAAUACCGGAUAGGAGCUCCUGCUGCAUGGUGGGGGUUGGAAAGUUUCGGCGGUUGGGGCUGGACUCGCGGCUUAUCAGCUUGUUGGUGGGGUAGUGGCUUACCAAGGCUUUGACGGGUAGCCGGCCUGAGAGGGUGACCGGCCACAUUGGGACUGCGAUACGGCCCAGACUCCUACGGGAGGCAGCAGUGGGGAAUAUUGCACAAUGGGCGGAAGCCUGAUGCAGCAGCGCCGCGUGCGGGAUGACGGCCUUCGGGUUGUAAACCGCUUUCGCCUGUGACGAAGCGUGAGUGACGGUAAUGGGUAAAGAAGCACCGGCUAACUACGUG